ACUCAAAUGAAUUGACGGGGGCCCGCACAAGCGGUGGAACAUGUGGUUCAAUUCGACGCUACGCGUAGAACCUCACCUAGGUUUGACAUGCUAGAAGUACUGAAGUGAAAGCGGAUGGACUCGUCAAGUCGAGAGCUAGCACAGGUGGUGCAUGGCUGUCGUCAGCUCGUGCUGUGAAGUGUUGGGUUAAGUCCCGCAACGAGCGCAACCCACGUCUGUUGUUGCCACUCGGUCGUAAGGCCGAAGCACUCUACAGAGACUGCCGGUGAUAAACUGGAGGAAGGUGUGGAUGACGUCAAGUCAGUACGCUCCUUAUACCUAGGGCUACACACGUGUUACAAUGGCACAUACAAAGGGGUAUGCCAACCCGUGAGGGGGAGCGAAUCCCAAAAAGUGUGCCCCAGUUCAGAUUGGAGGCUGCAACUCGCCUCCAUGAAGACGGAAUCGCUAGUAACGGCGGAUCAGCUACGCCGCCGUGAAUACGUUCCCGGGCCUUGUACACACCGCCCGU
rnacentral:rRNA from 1 species